UACACAAUAUAAUAUAAUAAAUUAAUAUAAAUGUCAAAUUUUAAAAAAAUAACAAUUAAUGUCUUUACACUAAAAUCAAAUAUUAUUCUUAUCUUAUAAAUAUACCUUAAAAUAAAAAAAUCUAAAUAAAGAACCUUCCGUAUUAAUAUUUCUAUAAAUUAAUAAAAUUUUAAAUUCUCAACAUUAUUAAUGAAUAGAGGUUCUACUGUAUUCGGUUAGAUUUACAAACCGAAUUUUUGUUUUCACAGCAUAUAUAGGAAAUAGAAGAUUUGGAACAAACUAAACAUAAACUAAACAUAACUGAAUAAAAAAAAUAUAUGAAACAAAGGAUAUUAUAGAUAUUUUUGUUCAAAAAAUAAAUUCUUGGAAUAGUUUUAUAGAUAGUUUUGUUCAAAAAGAAAAGGUUUUAUAGAUAGCUAAGUUUUGGAAUAUUUGUUAACAUGGUUAAUAUUUUUUUAGUCUAAAAAGGGAUUGGGUAGCUAUCUUUUUAUUAUAGAUCGAUAUGUUGUUUAAAUUAAUUAUUAUAUUUAAUAAAUAAAACCAAAUCGUGGAAUAAUUUUAUAGAUAAGUUAUUUUGUAAUAUUUGUUAACAUGGUUUAUAUUUGGAGUCUAAGUAGGGACUGGGUAGUUAUAGAUUCAUAUUUUGUUUUGAUUACAAAAAAAAAGAUCCAUAUAUUGUUCAAAUUAUUUAUUGAUAUUUUAUUAUGUCUAUAAAAAGGAAUAAAGUUUUGCAAUAUCCUAUCAUAAUGUAAAAAUAACAAUACGAUGUAAGAUAACUAUUUAGUAAAAUAUAUGGUAGGUGAUCGGAAUAUUUUUCUGGGUUUAGUGUCUCAUUAUGCUUUCCCGUGCUUGGUAGAUAAUGGUAAAAGUACAUAUUUGUUCGAUCCAGAACAUCUUAUGGGAAGAAAUAAUUUUUAGUUCAUGAACGUUAGUUUUCAAUUUAUGUCUACUAAAUUAUUCGUAUAUUCUAUGAUUGGAUCAAGUUGUUGAAUAUUGAAUGUCGAAAAUCACCAUCAGCCCCCACAGUUAAACCAAAGAACUGAUUAUCAAAGUAUCUCGAACCCUGUGAAUAGAAACCUCAAGCAAAACUCCGUAAAAGUACCUUUGAGUAAUGGAGGAGGAAGUUUAUCGCGGAACUAUGCGAACCUUCUUGAAACCUCCUUUGAUUUACCAGAACACGACCUCAAGCAAAACGUCAUCUUCAUCUUCGUUAAACACUCAGAAAUACUCGGUCAAAAAAAAAUAUGCCUCAUCACCUUUAUAGUAUAUUAGAAAUCAUCCUUGAAAAUUGAAAUCUAAAUCUGCCGUGAUCUCUUGUAACAGAUUGCUAAACUCAUGGAUAGCUUUUAGUUAUGCCAAAUUAACGUGUUCCUUUAUUAAUAUUGGUAUAAAUAAAAAGAAUUAGGAAAAUACUAAAUUUAAUUAAAAGCAUAUGUCUAGAUAAAGUGAGUGGGCAGUAUAUUGUAAUUAUUUUCAAAACAGGAGGGCACCUCAAAAAAGGAUCUUCUGUUUUAAUAGUAUUGAUUUCCAAAAAAAAUCAGACUAAUAUGAUGAACACAUAUGAAAUGUGUCUAUUGUUUCAUCAGAUAUUCAUGGAUUCUCUACUUUUAAUCAUUACAAGCAUUAACCGUUUUCUUGAAUGCAUCAUAAAUGAACACAAAUAAUACAUAUUAACUUGUAUUCCUGAUUUCUAUAGCUAAGAAAGUUAACAUGCCAGAAUCAAAUAAUACAUAUUAACUUUUAUUCCUGAUACUAAUGUAAGAGUUUUUUUUUUUUUUGCUAAAUACUAAUCUAAGAGUUCUCUAUGCAUGUUAGCAAAAAAAAAAAAAAAAAAAAAAAAAAAAAAAAAAGUUAUCAAAAAAAAAAAAAAAAAAAAAAAAAGAGUUCUCUAUGCAGAAACAUGCAGACUAUAUAUUUACCUUAUUCUGGUUCAGCUAUGAAUAUAGUAGAGUGUAAUAAGGAAAUCGAUACAAAUAAUCAGAGAAAAAAACACAGAUGGGAAAGAAAUUUUUUCGUCCUUGUUUUUUUCCCGUCCUUGUUUUUCGUAAUGUGUUUCCCUUACUGCAAAAACAGGUGAAGAAGCAACGUUUGAGUAUUUUUUUUUUGUAAACAACGUUUUGAGUAUUUUAAUCGAACUAAAGUUAAAUUGAACUUAACCAAUACAACAAACGGUAUUUUUCUUUGCUAAAUAAACAAGCUGAAAGUAAGUAAAUAUAAAUACUGUUCUUUCAAUCAGCUACAUACUUGGUUACUUAAUUUAGUCAAACGUUACAGUCAAUUAUGAUAGUGUCAGUGAAUCUUGACAUAUUUUUUUUAAAGGAAUCUCAAAAUAAUAUAUUGUACACAGAUACUCUUUUUCCUAAAUGAUUUUUCUAAUUCAUUAUAUAAAUGUGAUCUUAACAUUUUUCUUGUUAAACAAAGAAUGUCCCUUUUAAUUCUAAUACAACUAAUACUUAUUUUAAUGUUUAAUAUUAGUUGGGAAAUAUUUUGAUUUCAUAUAUAAUUUUAUUUAUCUCAAAUAUAUUAACUAGGUAGAGAUAUGUGUUUUGCGCGGAUUGAGAUUAAGAUUAUAAAAAGUAUAACUUUUUAAAAUAUAAUUUCUAAAUUUACAAUAUAAAACGUUAAAUAUUAAAACUAAUUACAUGGAAUAAUAUGUACGUAAAACUUCUGCCCAUUUAAUUAUUCGUGUUUUUAUUUUUGUUUUCCAAAAAAGUACGGUAGGCCAACCUUUUAUAAUCAGCCAUUUAAAACUUUAAGAAAAGAAGAUCGUAUAAAGAGGUAAGAGUUUAUGAAUGAGAUGAAAUGCAUUAUGAUAUAUGUUGAUGUUUAUAUAGAAGAAAAAAUUGGAAGCACAAUUAAUGAAAAAAAUUCGGCCAUAAAAUUGGGUAUAUACGACACUAAAUAAAUAAAAUCUUUUAGUUGCACAGAUUUAUUUAAUUUCCAAACGCUAAAAUAUUAAUGUAUAACUUUCCUUUAAUAUUUCAAACAAAUAUAAAAAGCGAAUAAGUCUUAAUAAUCAAUGCCAUAUAUAUUGUAAUGUAAUAUAUGUUUGAAAUAUAUGGGAAUAAAUUUGAUCUCCUAUUUACGAUUUUGAAGCAGGAAAUAUCUGAUUUAACUAAGAGUAACUCUGAUUUUUCAUUAUUAUUUGGUAUGUUGUUUCAUCUUUUAAACUAACCGAAGGUGAUUUGAACAUAUAAUCAUCAUUGUUAUAUGUAGGAAGAAGACAAUGAUAGAUCUGAAUUUCAGGUUUAUGACUAUGAUAGUUCAAAAUAUUAUUAAAAUAUCUGAUUUAGUUGACACUGAUUCUCCAUUUUUAAUUAUUAUUCUAAGUAGGCUGAUGAUGAUGACAAAUGAGAUGUUAAGAAAUCAAUAUAUUCUUUUUUGAAUUAACCACAGUGUCCAGCAACCGAUAUCAACCGACUAUUUUGUGGCUAACAAGAAACGAACUACGGAUUUACCGUAUUAGGAUUAUUCUUCAAGUGCCACUAAUCCAUGGCCCGUUGGUUGAAAUCAAUGUAUUCAUGCAAAUUAUUUGUAUGUAGUCUAGGACUCCACAUUAAAUAAGGUAAAACCUUACAAAAAAAAUAUGGGUCUUGUCAAGUUAUGAAACACAUCAGUCCAAUGGCAUUUUUAGUAAAUAGUUUAGUUAUGAAAAGGACUAAGAGCAACAUUAUCUGACAGAAGUCCUUAGAAUCUUUUUUCUUUUCUUUUUUAGUUUUCUGAUUUUUUUUUUUUAAGUUAACCAAUCGCGGGCCACCAUGUGUCGUGGGGCCCGCAAACAGUGCAGAGAACGCAGCAAGGACGUUCCCUAUUUAACGACUUUUCUCCUUUGUCCCUUCUUGGUUUUGCCAAAUUGUGGUCCCCCCUCCUUUAAGGACACCAGCAAGGACCUGCAAUAAUGUUGGUCUAAUAUCAAAGGAGGCUGAGAAAAGCUCUCAUAAUGACUAGGUAUGCAAAAUAAUAUAGACAUAAAUAAUUUAUAUCUUAAAGGUUGUUUUUCUAAUUUGAUUCUCGUUUAAUAAUAAGGAGAUUAAGUGGAUGUUAUUAUUAAGAACAUAAAUACAUUUCAAUCAUUUUUUUAAUUUGUGUGCAAAAUGUCAAAGUGACACUCUUCAUGGACAUAGGAAGUAUAUAAUUUAAGCAUUAAAAAUUUAGAUUUUGAUUGAUAUAUCAGUUAAGAAAUUAGCUAAUAAUAAAUGUGAAUAUUGACCUUUCACAAAAGGGAAAAUAUAUAUUUUCUUGGUUUUUUUGAAAAAACUUCCUUUUUACAAUUAUAAAUACUCACUAAGUACAUCAUUUUAGUUAUGCAAAAAAAAAAGACGAACACAAAAAAAAAAAAAAGAGAAAUCACCUUUGAUAUUCAUUGGUAUUCUACUUUUUUCAACAUGUACAGUGAUUCUGGCACGAACUGGAUAUCAGCCUUGCAAGAAGAACUCUGAUUGUGCUAGACUCAAAUGUCCAUCACCACUAGGACACCCCACGUGUGUUAAGGGUGGUUGUGAAUGCCCUUUUGAAGAACAUACGGUAUUACCUGCAGACCCUGUUCGAAAACGCGGUCUCGGCGGCCGGUUAAUCGCCGGAUUUGCGUGAAACGGUGGGGAGCCGUGGCGUUUAACGAUACUCGGAAAAAAAAAUCGGAAAACUAAAUUAACUCGCAUUUUUUCUAGAUUUUAAGUCUGCAAUCACAUCUACGUUAUAGAUUUGAUUUAUUUUGAUGAAACUCUACUAAAAUAACAACAAAAAUCAUUGAAAUCGAAAAAAAAAAAUGAAAACGGCUGUAGGUGGAAAAAAAAUCGCAGAGGUAAAAGGUUGAAGACAGGGUUGUUUUGGUCAUUUAAAGGUCAUUAAACCUAAUUUUUUUUUUAAAACAGCAAAACGGGCUUCGAACCCUGGGCUAUCAGUGGUAAACAAAGGCAAGUUUCCACUGGACUAAAUAAUAACAAUGGUAUUUAUGCGCAUAUCUAAUAUAUAUCCUCAAAACCUAUUUAAAAACCCUAAAACUACUCCCCGAUUAAUCCCCGUAUAAUUCCCGCUUAAUUGAUUCGGCGCUAGGCGCUACCCGACCGCACGCAUAACGCCUAGCGAGUUUUCGAACAGGGCCUGCAGAUGAUAUAUACCAACUGUGGUGUGGCUGUUUGCUUUGACAAUUGCAAGGCAAAAGGAGAAGUAUCUUAUGCUUGUCUUUUGAACCAAUGCUACUGUCGCAAACCUCCCAUGUAGAUUUUACAAAGAAUUUCGAGUCUAUAUAUAAAAAUCAAAUCGAAGCUCUUUUUAUGAACUAGUAAUAUUAAUUUCUCAAUUUUCCCGAAACAAAAUAUCAAUUGUCUGGAUAUAUAUUUAGUAGUUGUUAGGUUUUUCACGUAUUCCUUUUUAGAUUUGUUCUUCCCGCACAUAUGUUCAGAGCCGUGGGCAAGGGUUAAAUAAAGUUAUGCUUGUAAUUGUUUAGUGGGAUUGUACUAGAUUGUUUAAGUUUUCUUUGGCUAUGAUUGACAGCGGUAAAACAUGUUAGAGCUGAGACCGAUCUAAGAGACAUGUACGACCUUUUCAGCCAUCUGUGAGCUAUUUUACAGUGAAAAGAAAAAUAUCAUGGAAAUUUAUCGUAAAAAUAAGAGAGGAUGAUUUUCUA